AUUGAACGCUGGCGGCAUGCCUAACACAUGCAAGUCGAACGGGAACAGGAAACAGCUUGCUGUGUCGCUGACGAGUGGCGGACGGGUGAGUAAUGUCUGUGAAACUGCCUGAUGGAGGGGGAUAACUACUGGAAACGGUAGCUAAUACCCCAUAACGUCGCAAGACCAAAGAUUGGGACCUUCGGGCCUCUUGCCAUCGUAUGGGCCCAGAUGGGAUUAGCUAGUAGGUGGGGUAACGGCUCACCUAGGCGACGAUCCCUAGCUGGCCUGAGAGGAUGACCAGCCACACUGGAACUGAGACACGGUCCAGACUCCUACGGGAGGCAGCAGUGGGGAAUAUUGCACAAUGGGCGCAAGCCUGACGGAGCCAUGCCGCGUGUAUGAAGAAGGCCUUCGGGUUGUAAAGUACUUUCAGCGGGGAGGAAGGGAGUAAAGUUAAUACCUUUGCUCAUUGACGUUACCCGCAGAAGAAGCACCGGCUAACUCCGUG
rnacentral:rRNA from 1 species